rnacentral:rRNA from 1 species
UUUGAUCCUGGCUCAGGAUGAACGCUAGCGGCAGGCUUAACACAUGCAAGUCGAGGGGUAACAGAGAGUGCUUGCGCUUUGCUGACGACCGGCGCACGGGUGAGUAACGCGUAUACAAUUUACCUUAUACAGGGGGAUAGCCUUUAGAAAUGAAGAUUAAUACCCCAUGGUUUAUAGAUAUCGCCUGAUAUUUAUAAUAAAGAUUUAUCGGUAUAAGAUGAGUAUGCGUUCUAUUAGUUAGUUGGUAAGGUAAUGGCUUACCAAGACAUCGAUAGAUAGGGGCCCUGAGAGGGGGAUCCCCCACACUGGUACUGAGACACGGACCAGACUCCUACGGGAGGCAGCAGUGAGGAAUAUUGGGCAAUGGAGGCAACUCUGACCCAGCCAUGCCGCGUGCAGGAAGACGGCCCUAUGGGUUGUAAACUGCUUUUAUAGAGGAAGAAACCCUCCUACGUGUGGGAGGCUGACGGUACUCUACGAAUAAGGACCGGCUAACUCCGUGCCAGCAGCCGCGGUAAUA